GAGGCGGCCAGAGGAGAGCCAGCUUCUUGGUGUGGGAACAGCUGGGAGACGGGCCGCUGACUCAGCGCAGGGUGGGGGGGCUGGCCGUGGAGGCUCCCAAGGCGACGUUUCGUAUUUGCUGCUGGAGGUAACAGGGGAGACUGGGAAUGGGUUGAGUCGGGGCUGACGAGGUCACACGGUUUUAGGAAGAUCGCCCGCAUAGACCCGAGCAGGGAGAGAAGGAGGCAGGCGGCCCCCACUCCCCCAGCGGCUGUUACGGUGGCCCAGGCGUGAAGUGACCAGGGCCUGCGCGGGCGCCGCGGGCGGCGCGGCCCUAUCAGAGGAGACACAGGUGCUUGGGGACACCCUGCCCAGCUUUUAUACAGGAGUCAAAUCCGCCAUCCCUGCCAAAGAGGUCUGGGAGCAGGGCGGGGUCCUGAGCCACAGCAGGAAAUAGGAAGAGAGGACCCAUUCAAUUUAGCGACGGACAGGUUAAUGGCCCGUUUGAGAUGUCCAAUGGGAAGAGGGAGCUGUGAGCCUGGAGCGCCCGAGUCAGCUGAGGCCACACCUCCUCUCUGGCCGCGUGGUUCACACACGCAGACACACUCACGGAUCCCAAGGGCAUAGGCGGCCCCGCGGCCCCGCGGCAGACGGCAGUAACUGCUCCUCAGAUGGACGUGCAUCCAAGGGCAUUUUAGCGGUGGGGAAAGGCUUGGAGCUGCGGGCAGCGCUCCUGACCACCCCCUUUUCUCCACUCUGUGCCAGCCCUGCUCACUCUGACCCCAGCCUCUCCCGGCCUCUAAUCUCCCUUCCUUCUCCAAGCCCCUGCCCAUGCAGCAACCCCCAUCUGUAUGCUUAAGGCCCAGGUCUCCCCGUGUCAUCACCCCCCAACAAGAAGUUCCAGGGGCUCCCCAGGGCUUCUGUUUGGCAGCCUCUGUGCCCGAGGCCCUUCCCCGUGGGCCCCAGCCCAUUGCUUCUUCUCCUUCACUCUUUCUCCUCAAACCUGCCCUGUCCAGCUAGACUGGUGUGCUCAAUGCUCUUGCUGCCCAGACCACGGCUGCCAGCCCUGUCCUCUCAGCUGCCCCAGACCCCAUUCAGGCCUCAUCUCCUGAGUCACUCACAUGUGACGCUUCUCUUCCUUUCCAGAUUCUCAUAUUCACAGCCUGGGUGCACUCACGCCUCCUAGAACAGGCACUUCCAGAGGGUCGCUUCACUUAGGCCCGUGGCCCAGGCAGCACUGGGCACGGAGGGGACGCCUAAUGAGAUGCUUCUCAGACAGGGCUGGGACCCAGGUUCACAUAGGACACCCUCCCUGUCUACCAGGACCGGAGACCACAGGACUUUGAGAUGGGCAAGGGAAGCGGCAUGCAGUCCAACCUGCUCAUUUGAAUGAUGGGAGAAUGCAGAGGAGGGUGUUUGCCUAGGGGGAUUCAGCUGGCAAGCAGCUCAGCCGGGCCUGGAGGGCAGACCCUGAGCGCCCAGCCUCCCAAACCCCGCCCCCCAGGCUCUCCCUACCCACCUCCCCUGGGGCGUGGCCUACAGCUCUCCCCGCCCACACGGGGUGGGGGAGGCUGGCACAGGAGCCUCACCAUCAUCAAGCCUUCCCCUGUCCAAACUCUGACUUCUCCCCGGCAUUAUUCUUGACAAGAGCUGGAAGGCUGACAAGCUGGGCUGCAGGCCUUUGACCCGGCCAGGACCCUCAGAGAUGCUGCUUCGGGACAAUUGGCCAGAAAACGUUCCUGGACUGGGGGCAGCCCCCUGACCAAUAUCUGUGCCCAGUUAGAUCCCCAGGCUAUGUGUACCCACCAGACUCACUGGUAUUAAAG